UACGGAAGGCAGCAGUGGGGAAUAUUGCACAAUGGGCGAAAGCCUGAUGCAGCUAUGCCGCGUGUAUGAAGAAGGCCUUAGGGUUGUAAAGUACUUUCAUCGGGGAGGAAAAAACAAAACUAAUAAUUUUAUUUCUUGACGUUACCCGAAAAAGAAGCACCGGCUAACUCCGUGCCAGCAGCCGCGGUAAUACGGAGGGUGCUAGCGUUAAUCAGAAUUACUGGGCGUAAAGAGCACGUAGGUGGUUUUUUUAAGUCAGAUGUGAAAUCCCUGGGCUUAACCUGGAACUGCAUUUUGAAACUGAAAUACUAGAGUAUCGUAGAGGGAGGUAGAAUUCUAGGUGUAGCGGUGAAAUGCGUAGAUAUCUGGAGGAAUACCUGUGGCGAAAGCGGCCUCCUAAACGAAUACUGACACUGAGUGCGAAAGCUGGGGAGCAAACAGGGAUUAGAUACC
rnacentral:rRNA from 1 species